GGUCGCGUGGCCCAAUGGGUAAGUAACGUCUUCAACCACCUACUAUCACACACAACUAACAAAUAAUACAGCAAGGCGUCUGACUACGAAUCAGGAGAUUGUGGGUUCGAUCCCCACCGUGACCU